GGCUCUCUGCUGGAGUUCUUUUCCACGCUGUGGAAGCUUUGUUCUUUUGCUCUUUGUAAUAAAUCUUGCUGUUGCUCACCCUUUGGGGCCACGCCACCUUUAUGAGCGGUAACACUCACCACGAAGGUCUGCAACUUCAUUGCUGAAGCCAGCGAGACCAAGAACCCACUGGGAGGGACUAACAACUCCAGACACGCUGCCUUUAAGAGCUGUAGCACUCACCGCAAAGGUCUGCAGCUUCAUUCCUGAAGUCAGCAAGACCACGAACCCACCAGAAGGAAGAAACUCCAGACACAUCUGAACAUCUGAAGGAACAAACUCCAGAAACGCCAUCUUUAAGAACUGUAACACUCACCGCGAGGGUCUGCCGCUUCAUUCUUUAAGUCAGCGAGACCAAGAACCCACCAAUUGACACAGCAGCUUUUUUUUUGUUUUUUUUUCGAGAUGGAGUCUCACUUUGUCGCCCAGGCUGGAGUGCAGUGGCAUGAUCUUGGCUCACUGCAAGCUCCGCCUCUGAGGUUCAGGCCAUUCUCCUGCCUCAGUCUCCCGAAUAGCUGGGACCACAGGCGCCUGCCACGACGCCUGGCUAAGUUUUUGUGUUUUUAAUAGAGACGGGGUUUCACCGUGUUAGCCAGGAUUGUCUCUAUCUCCUAACCUCGUGAUCUGCCCGCCUCGGCCUCCCACAGUGCUGGGAUUACAGGCAUGAGCCACCGCGCCAGGCUACAGCAGCAUCUUGAUGACCAUAUGAUACAGCUGUUUCAUGCUUUUUGAGAUGGAGUAUCGCUCUGUCACCAGGCUGGAGUAUAAUGGCGCGAUCUCGACUCACUGCAACCUCCGUGUCCUGGGUUAAAGCGAUUUUCCUGCCUCAGCCUCCCAAGUAACUGGGACUACAGGUGCGCACCACCACACAGCUAAUUUUUGUAUUUUUAGUAGACACGGGGUCUCACCAUUUUGGCUAGGAUGGUUUCUAUCUCUUGAUGUCAUGAUCCACCCACCUUGGCCUCCCAAAGUACUGGGAUUACAGGUGUGAGCCACUGCGCCCGGCCAAUCAUCAUAUCCUUUUCAUCAAUUUAGUUACCCCAAAUUUUGUUAUCAUGUAAGAGUGGCUAUCUCUAUUAUAGGAAAAUUCCUGAAUUUUUUAAAGGGUUCCCCAUUUUAAUCAUGUUACCAUUGUAAAAGGACCCAUAUAGUAUAACCUUUACAUGUAAUUAUUUGGACAAUUACUACGUAUGACUAUGGCUAGAGAUUGUAUUGUUAAAAACAAGUGUGCAUUUCUGAGUAACUUGCAAGAUUAAUUUGAAAGGCAUUGGGUUGGUCCUUGAAAAGCAGCUUUCAGCAAACAAAUAGGCCAGCUUAAAUUCAGUUGUUUGGCCUUAUAAUCCUGCCUUCAGUUACCUUCUUGGCUUUGGCCAUUUUCUGGUUUUAGCUCUGGAUUUUAAACUUUUCUCCACUUAUUUGUUGGCUUCUAACCUGGAUUUGGUUUUCUUCCUAAUUCUUUAGAAUUAAUGAACAUAGACUCUCUGAUACUAAGUAGCUGUCAAAAGUUUGGGAAAAAAGUCACUGAGAUUAUUUUCCAUCUGAUAAAUGUUGACAAUAUUAGUACCUACCUCAAAGGUUGUCAACAUUAUAUAAAUUAUUUUAAAACAAGUAGCAGAUUGCACAGUAUUUUAACUCAUUAAUAAAUGUUAACUAUUAGUAUCAUUGUUACACAAAUCUCUAUGAAUAUAGAAAAUGACAAAUGUGAUUUGUCCCUAAGAAAAGUCAUAUAUGUGAACAUAUGAUAUAUCAAUUUUUCUUACAUCUCUUUGGUAAAUACUUGUUUAAGAAUAAAUAACAUUAAAAUACAAUCUUGAACCAGAAUCACUGCUAAAUACUGCCUCUAGAAAAAUAUUACAACAAGAUUAUCAAGGUAAAAUUGUUAGAAAUUCCCCAAAGAUUAGAUUAAAAACAAGAAUAUAAUUUAUCAUAUUCAUAAAGAUGACAAAUGGUUUCAUUUUAAGGAGAAUCUGACACAUCAUUAUUCCACAGUAAUGUGAUCAACUUGCAUUCCUCAGUUGGGCAAACAUACAGGCUAGAAGAUUGAUGAAUGAAUAUUUUUAAUGCAAAUACUUCAUAAACUGUAACUUGUGCGGCAAAAGAAAAGAUGAGUAUGAUUCAGAGUAAUGACUCAGAGGAACCUCGAAAUAAUUUUUACAUUUUCUAACAAGUUAAAUGUGCUGUUCUCUGCAAGGAUCUUUACUGUUUUAUUAAAACUGCAACUUGAAUGCAUAAUCAAUGAAUGUAUGCCCUCCUUAUAAAAUACACAAUUCCUAUUCGAGUAGUUUAAUACAAAAAUCUCAUCUCUGCACAGAGCCCUGCUGUUCAGGACUGGGGAGAAGCUCUGUGAUGAGAAAAUGAAAACCUUUCUCCUGGUGUUUUGGCGAUAUAGAGAGGUGAAAAAAAAGCCUCCUGGUGUUUUUGAGCACCUCUUCUCUAAAGCUAAUGCAAGAGAAUAGGAACUGGCUCUUCUACCAUCUGAGAGGGUUCAAGGGGGUGGAGAUCGGCUGGGACAGGAGAUAUAGGAAGAUACUUUCUUCUCUGGAGCAUUUCUCUCUAAAUAUUGAUUGUUAUCCUAAACAUCUGCAACUCCGUUCACCUUUCUCUUGACAAGCAAAUCAGUGUUCUUUUGCCUUGAACGCUCUGCCGACUACGGUCACAGGCACAAGAAGGAAGAUGAGUCACUGCAAGCUUGACAUUAAAGAUGUGACUUUUUUAGCAUUUGGAUGCUUCCUUUUUUUAUUUCCAUUAAGUGCCUCCUUGGAAAGAGUGGCUUGUGACAUGGUAUUUAAUUAUUAAUGAUCAAUACAGCAGAACAGCUAUAGGUUGAGAGGCAAGUGUUUUUUAUUUUUAAUUGUGCUUCAAGGUUUCAACUCAUUAAAUGUCCAUUGAAACAACCUGCAAAUUGUGAUAGCUAACUUUACACUGUAUAAAAAGAAUAUUUGCUAAAUUUCAAUCUAAAAUGUUAUGGACAUUCCUUAAAUGUUAUUUAGCUAUCCAGACAAAUAAUAGUGACACUUUGAGUAGUGAUAUUGUUCACCAUUAUAUUAUGUUCAGGCCAUACUGUUAUGAAACCACAGCAAAAAUAGUUUUAUUUUUAACAAUCCAUAGUUAAUCUCUUUCUGGUUCCACUUGCAUUUAGGCAUAGAAACCUUGUUAAACUAAGAAACAACAAAGCUACAACCAACAAUAAUAGACACAGUCAAUCAGACACCUGAUGUUUUCUGGACAGAGCCAAGUUAUUUCCUUGUGUUGUGAACUCAUUGUUGAUUCAUUGUAGAUAUCAGAAGAAACAAGGCAAACAUAAGCCAGAGGUCAGAGAAGGAGUUGUUAUCGGACUGGCAAAAAUAAAAUAAAAUAAAAUAAAAUAAAAUAAAAUAAAAUAAAAUAAAAUAAAAUAAAAUUACUUUGCUUACUGAUCAAGGAAACUUUGGGUAUAGGCAUGAUUUGCAGAGAUAUGAUAAAUUUAUGCAAGGUGAGGGUGAGUUUAAAUGGAUGAAUUUAAGUGGUUAGAUACAAUAUGGACCCUCGUGUAAAAUUCCUCAUAGAAGAAUUUCAGAAUGUGGGUAAUUUACUCCAGUUCUUUUGGCUCCCAGCUGCAUUCUCACCAUUCUGGGUUCUCCUUUGCAUAUCAGGGAGCUACAGCAGUGUUGGCAGUGGUUUUUAAAGAGCAGAAGUAGGAGUGCAAAUUCCAGCCCCUUAGCUGAGGUACACUUCAGUGGUAGUGGAUGCCUGAGAGUGCAGACAGAAACAUGGGAGACACUUCAGACUCAGACAGAGAACUGGGAUGUCAGUAAUUCUGUCCCAUUGUCUAAAGGCAGGUAAUAUGACUGAACCCAAAGUCAAAGAGUGGGAAAAUCUGUUGUGAUCCUUUAACGCAGGGUGUCAAAUCUUUUGGCUUCCCUACGGCACAUUGGAAGAAGAAGAAUUGUCUUGGGCCACACAUAAAGUACGCUAACACUAACAAUAGCUGAUGAGCUUUAAAAUAAUUGCAAAAAAGAUCUCAUAAUGUUUUAAGAAAGUUACAAAUUUGUGUUGGGCUGCAUUCAAAGCCUUCCCGGGUUGCAUGCGGCCCAUGAGGCGUGGGUUGGACAAGCUUGCUUUAAUGAAAGUAACUGCAAAAUCACGUACAAAAGACAUCAAGGAUUGGGGCAAAUAAUGCAGUCUGCCACAUGUGCUUACUAUGUUCAUAAUUAGACAAGAACUGACAUUAAAUGCAAAUGCCUGAAACGUAUCAUGAUUGUCUGGCUUGAGGAAUAUAGACUGCAAUUAUUCAUUUUUACUGUUUCUUUAGAAAACAGGGUAAAGGGAAGAAGGUGAAGA
rnacentral:lncRNA from 1 species